UAGAACAGAUGGAAAUGAGUCUCUUGGGUAUCUCCAGCUGAUGUGGAUUUCACAGCGGGCGGAAGGAAGUGAGGGGGAGCAGAUAAGUCACCCCUUCCCACGGCCACUUGGGAGGCCACACUGGUUGUUCAGCUGUCCACCCUCACUCCUUGUGAAAGGCGUGGGGCUUGACACUGGGAGCUCCAUUCCAGUGGAGUUCUGAAGACCGAGAAUUCCAAGGUCAAAGUGCUAGCUGAUUGUGUCUGGCUGGCCCUGGCUUGGAGCUGGAGUUGAAAUGGAUGUGGAGCUCAUCAGUGGAAGCCUUGCAUCAGGGAUCUCAGAGCCUGUGAUGGAGAUACUGCUUGUGUCAAUGUGCAAAGAGACUGUGAUCAGCCCUCUAAGUGGGGCCCCACAGACAAGAACCUUCGGGCAAGAACACAGACUCACCGAAGCACCAUCAGAGAUGGCAAAGCGCUUUUAGAGCUUCCCUCGACAGUGGGCUAGUAUGACUUUCUCCCAGUGUCCUUACUCAGGGCUCCCUGUGGCUUUGAGCGGCCUCAGUAGCUGGUGUUUGCCAGGCAUGGAGUGGGGGGAGGCUCACUCUUGCUCUCCCAGUAUCCUGAGAUGCUCUGUUCCC